CCCUGAUAUUCCCUCUUCCAUCUCAUGUAUUCUGUUGGUGAAGUUUGCCUCUGUUAUUCCUGUUCAAAUUCCUAAUUUUUUCAUUUCCAGAAUUUUCUCAGUUUGCAUUUUCUCUUUUGAUUCUAUUUCCAUUUUCAGGUUUUGAAUAGUUUUGUUAAUUUCCUUCCACCAUUUGUUUGUGUUUCCAUUGAUUUCAUUAAAGGAUUCAUUAAUUUCCUUAUUUUUUCUUGGGUUUCCUUAAGGGGUUUCUUCAUUUUUCUCUUUAGGGACCUCUAUUAUCUUCAUACGGCAGUUUUAAGGUCUUUUCUCCAUUUAUGUCAAAAUAUCCAGGGACUGCUUUUGUCGGAUAGCUUGACUAUAUUAGAGACAUAUUUCCCUGACUCUUAUUGAUUGCAUUCUUAUACUGGUAUCUAGGAAUCAAACAUUGGGAUGAUUAUAAGUCCAGGUGCUGAUUUCUGGAUUUGUCUCUGUUGGGUUGGUGUUUUGUUCCUUGUUUUUUGUUUCUUCUCUCGACUUUUCAGAAGGUGUUAUGGCUGUGCAUUGCCGGGGAGGAAAUUUUCGUUGGACCUGAUAAUGAUGUCCACUGGGGGUUCCAGACCAUUUCAUUCUUGUCUGUCUUAGUGGAUUCAUCUUUAAAUGACAGGCGAUUGAAUGACUGCAGUCCCUCUACAUCUACAUCGAGAUGGCAUCAUCAGGAAAACAAGUGACAACAAAUUCUGUUAAUGAUGUGGGAGAGAAGAAAGUCUGGUGGGAGUGUAAACUGGUGCAGCCUGUGGAGAAAUCAGUGUGGAAGCUUCUCAAGAAACCUAAAGAAGGACUGCGCACUCUCCAGCUAUCCCAUUCCUAGACCUUUGUUGAAAGGACUCUACAGCUUUCUACAGAGAUGUUUACCACUGCUGUUUUUACAAUGGCAAGGAGUUAAAAUCAGCCCAGAUGUCCAUCAGUGAUGAACAGAUAAUGGAAUGUACUACAUAGACACAAUGAGAUUUUAUUGCACAAUAAAGAAAAAUGAAAUAAAAAUCUUCAAGACUGUGGAUGGGAUGGAUAAACAUAUUAAGUGAGAUAAACCAGGCUCAAAAAGACAAAUAUUGUACAUUCCCUCCUUCAUGUGCAGCUCCUACCUUCUACUUAUUAAAUAUGUGUGUUCAGAUGCUUUAAGGGAUGAGAUAGAAAACACAAUAGAACUCAUGAGAUUAUAAAAUGUGGCAAUAUUAGGGGGGAUAAAGGGUCCAGAGGGGACAAAAGAAAGCAAGAAGAUGGAGUAUGGGACAGAAUCAAAUAAAAUUUUAUAUAUAUAAUUAUAUAUAUACAUAUAUAUGUGUGUAUACAUACAUAUAAUUUAUAUAUGUGUAUAUAUGACAUUAUGAAACAUACUACCUUGUAAGCUGAUGAAAAAUAACAAAUAAAUAUUUUAUACAUGUACAAUUUUAUUUCUUUAGGUCUUGAAUUGUACUUUCCUCUGAGAUAUAAUAGCAUAUUGAUUAGAGUUUUUUAAUUUGUACCCUACUUCAAAUGUGUAAAUCUGUUUCAUUCAUGUUUUAAUCUUUCAUAAUGGAUUGGGCUUCUUAGAGGUAUUUUUAAAUAUUGUACCCUCUUUAGAGCUUUACUUGCAUCUUUCAAAAGUUAGAAAUUUCCCCAAUAAUUUUGUAUAAAAUUAUAAAAAGAUAAAUAAAAGGUACAAAAAAAGAAGAUGCAUUCACAAAAAUAUACAAAUAAUUGCUAAUAUUUUUAAAUACCCUUUCUUUUUUGCAUACAUAUUAACACACAUACACUUACAUAUUUCCUGACUUAAUAUGAAAUAAGCCAGAGACAAUGGGUCUGUGAAGUCUUUCAAGUACUUAGGGUGGGAAGGCCACUCUCACGUCUACUAAAAUUGGCAAAAAUCUUAGUAUCACUUUUUUCUACUUUGCUUUCAUUGCUGUGGUAUACUGAUUCAUCCAGAUCGUAUUCAAAUCCUCUGAAAUAGGUUCAGUGAUUUCCCACGACCUUUCAAAGCAGAAAGCAAGACAAAAUGUAUGACUCACUUUUGUUUUCUUUAGUUCCUUUGGUUUCAGUUUUGUUUUGAACUAGAAUUUAGUUGUGUAGCCCAGGCUCCCUUUUUUUUUCUCACUUUGCUUGCCUCAACUUCAUAAUUAUCUUCUCUUUUCCUUCCGAUCCUGGGAUUAUAGACACAUAGACCCCAGUUAGUUCUCAUGUAACCCACAGUUUAGCUUUUAAAUUCAUGAUAGCAAAGAUUUUAUGAGAUCAAGUCUAUUAUUUUAUUUGAAGUCACACGUUUUUGUUAUAUCAUUGUGCCACUAUUUAAAGAGUUUAUCUAGUUCAUACAUUUUCUGUAAAUUAUAUAUAAUCUCUCUAAGUCAAGCUGGACACUUUAUAUUACAUCAGCUAUAUUCUAUAAAAUGCCAUACUCCAUCUCCUAAUUGACCCAUAAUCAUUAAUGUUUACUGCUGUGGAUAUCACUCUAUAUAAAUAAAACACUGAUUGGCCAGUGGCCAGGCAGGAAGUAUAGGUGGGACAAGAAGAGAGGAAAAUUCUGGGAAGUGAGAGGCUGAGAGAGAGAGGCCUGCCAGCCACCACCAUGACAAGCAAGAUGUUAGGUACCGGUAAGCCACAAGUCAUGUGGCAACUUAUAGAUUAAUAGAAAUGGUUUAAUUUAAGAUAGAAGAAGUAGAUAACAAGAAGCCUGACAUGGCCAUACAGUUUAUAAGUAAUAUAAGCAUCUGUCUGAGUGAUUAUUUUAUAUGUGGGUUGUGGGACUGUGGGGCUUGGUGGGACCUGGAGAGAAAUUCUCUAGCUACAAAUGGCGCCCAACGGCUCGAGUUUCCACCUUAAACCUGACUAAUAUUUAAUAACCAAUUCUAAACAGAGCCAAAACCAGGAUCCUUCAUGUCUCAUAUAGGCAGCUAGACACUGCAAAAUGCAGGUUUGAACUACUGGCGGGUUCCUGGCGUGUGCAUUUAACUGACAGUAUGGCGGGAAUGAGGAGUCUGCCAGGGGCACAUUAAGCUGUGUGGUAG